UACAGAGGGUGCAAGCGUUAAUCGGAAUUACUGGGCGUAAAGUGUGCGUAGCCGGUUAUGUAAGUCAGGUGUGAAAGCCCCGGGCUCAACCUGGGAAUUGCAUUUGAGACUGCAUAGCUAGGGUGCGGAAGAGGGAAGCGGAAUUUCCGGUGUAGCGGUGAAAUGCGUAGAUAUCGGAAGGAACAUCAGUGGCGAAAGCGGCUUCCUGGACCAGAACUGACGAUCAGGCUCGAAAGCGUGGGGAGCAAACAGG
rnacentral:rRNA from 1 species